CAGCAGCCGCGGUAAUACAGAGGGUGCGAGCGUUAAUCGGAUUUACUGGGCGUAAAGCGUGCGUAGGCGGCUUUUUAAGUCGGAUGUGAAAUCCCUGAGCUUAACUUAGGAAUUGCAUUCGAUACUGGGAAGCUAGAGUAUGGGAGAGGAUGGUAGAAUUCCAGGUGUAGCGGUGAAAUGCGUAGAGAUCUGGAGGAAUACCGAUGGCGAAGGCAGCCAUCUGGCCUAAUACUGACGCUGAGGUACGAAAGCAUGGGGAGCAAACAGGAUUAGAUACCCCCGUGUCCCUGUCUCUUAUACC
rnacentral:rRNA from 1 species